rnacentral:rRNA from 1 species
GACAGAGGUGCCAAGCGUUAGGCGGAAUUACUGGGCUUAAAGCGUGUGUAGGCGGAUUUGUAAGUACCUUGUGAAAUCCCACGGCUCAACCGUGGAACUGCUCGGUAUACUGCUUAUCUUGAGCCACUUAGGGGCUACCGGAACAAAUGGUGGAGCGGUGAAAUGCGUAGAUAUCAGGAGGAAUACCGAUGGCGAAGGCAGGUCUCUGGGCUGACACUGACGCUCAUGCACGAAAGCGUGGGGAGCAAACAGG